rnacentral:misc_RNA from 1 species
UACAGAGGGUGCGAGCGUUAAUCGGAUUUACUGGGCGUAAAGCGUGCGUAGGCGGCUUUUUAAGUCGGAUGUGAAAUCCCCGUGCUUAACUUGGGAAUUGCACCCGAUACUGGCCGACUAGAGUACGAGAGAGGGAGGUAGAAUUCCACGUGUAGCGGUGAAAUGCGUAGAUAUGUGGAGGAACACCAGUGGCGAAGGCGACUCUUUGGCCUAUAACUGACGCUGAGGCGCGAAAGCGUGGGGAGCGAACAGG